rnacentral:lncRNA from 10 species
GCUGGUCUCAAGCUCCUGACCUCAGGCAGUCCACUCGCCUCUGCCUCCCAAAGUGCUGGGAUUACAGGCAUGAGCCACUGUGCCCGGCCUCAUUUAUUUUUAAAAGUUACAAAAAUGGAAUUAAAUGAGAAGACAGACAUCAGACAAGAUGAUGAUAGUUAAAAUUUAAGGGGAAAAAUAAGACUCCAAGAAAAAGAUACAAACCAGCCCUUUUUAUCUUUAAUUAAAUAGAAAAUACAAACUAAUUCUUUUAACUUUUAUUUAUUUAUUUAUUUAUUUAUUUUGAGACAGGGUCUGGCUCUGUCACCCAGGCUGGAGUGCAGUGGCACGAUCUUGGCUCACAACUACCUCCGCCUCCCCAGGCUUAAGCAAUCCUCCCACCUCAGCCUCCCAAGUAGCUGAAACUACAGGUGUGCGCCAUCACCCCCAGGUUACCUAAGGGAACCCCAGAGGAAUUCAAGGAGGAUGGGGUGAUUCUGAAGCUACGGUCCAGCAUGGCAUGCUAUGGUCUUGAAGCCUAUGAAAUUCACUCUUCAACAAACUUGGCAUCUACGUUAAGCAUGUGAAUGUACAGAGUUAUCAAUCAACAAUAGCCUUUAAGAUUAUUGUAAUCCCCUAAGUACUUCGGCCCCAGGUAGCCACCCACUGCUGGAUGUCAGAGGACAUCACGGUGCUCUUUCCUGCCUGCACCCCUAGUCUGGAAUGCUUACCCCACAUCUCUGCUGAGUGAACUCCUUCCUAUUCAUGCUUCAAGACCCAGCUCAGUCCUGGCUCAGCUGACCCCUUGGUUCCUGUGUCUGUUCCCUGCUGGGCUGUGAGUGUUUUUAUAUUUUGUUUUUCUUAUGUCCAUUUAGAUUUGAAUAUGAAUGUUUUAUUUUAUUUUACUUAUUUUUUUAUGUUUCUUUGAGACAGAGUCUUGCUCUGUUACCUAGGCUGGAGUGCAGUGGUACAAUCUUGGCUCACUGCAACCUCCGCCUCCUGGGCUCAAGCAAUUUUCAUGCCUCAGCCUCCCAGUAGCUGGGACCACAGGCACCCACCAUCAUGCCCGACUAAUUUUUUUUGUAUUUUUAGUGAUGGCCUCAAGCGAUCCUCCCGCCUCAGCCUCCCAAAGUGUUGGGAUUACAGGCGUGAGCCACCACAGCCAGCCUCGAAUGUGAGUGGUUUUUGUUGUUGUUGUUGUUGUUGUUUUUUGAGACAGAGUUUCGCUCUUGUUGCCUAGGCUGGAGUGCAGUGGCACAAUCUCGGCUCACUGCAACUUCCGCCUCCCAGGUUCAAGCGAUUCUCCUGCCUCAGCCACCCGAGUAGCUAGGACUACAGGCAUGUGCCACCACGCUCAGCUACUUUUGUUUUUUGUUUGUUUGUUUGUUUGUUUUAGUAGAGAUGGGGUUUCACUUUGUUGGUUAGGCUGGUCUUGAACCCCUGACCUCAGGUGAUCCGCCCACCUAGGCCCCCCAAAGUAUUGGGAUUACAGGAGUGAACCACUGCGCCCGGCCUCGAAUGUGAGUGCGUUAAAACCCAGAUCGGGUCUGAUUGGGGUUGGCACCCAGGUGGCUCCAUAAUUGUUGCUGUCCUGAAUUAUUGCCCUCUUUGCUACUUGGACCGAACCCCAUCUUGGGACCACCGACUUCCUCUGACUCCUGGUCAGGCUCCUGGGCGGCAAAUCCUGGCCCCUGGUAUGGUCCCGCCUGCCUCUCUGUCCCCUUGUCUACCUGACCAGACCUCUGAACUUCAAGGCCUGGAUGCCCUGUCUCUCCUCCUGUGAGGCUCUGUCCUACCUCAUGUUGGGACCUAGGGCGCUCUGUUGUACAACUCCAGGGAGCACCAUUGUGUCUUCUGUAAAUGGCAGCUCCUGGAACACAGUGAGCCCUCAAUAGGGCAUGUCAGCUGUGGGCUCAGACAUCCUUUGGGUCUGGCAGUGCUCCAUUUCAUGUGCCCUGUCACCCUCACCCCUCUUUUUCCAUCCCACUUCUCCUAGCUGGACCAAGCUAGGCGUCAUCUACAAGCCCGGUGUGCUGACCAGGGAAUGUGUGGGGCUUGGGGCAUGGGGACAAUAAAUAACAUCACUUUUCUCAUUUCCCAGGCAGGUAACCAAUUGAAAGAUAAGAUACCAUAGACAGACAUCAACUUUAUUCCUGACUAAAGCUCAAAAGAAGGGCGUGGCGUAGAUUUACAGUGACCAUCCUAACACUCACGCGCAGAGUCACACGGUCCCACACUGGGCUGGACCAGCCCUGCUAAGCCCACAAGAGAUCAAAAGCUGAGUGAAGCAGUGGUCCAGCUGGAAUUCAACACCUGAGAUAUCUGACUCCAGAUACCAGCCCUUCCUUGCUUCCCACUAGCUGCCUAACCCAGAGAGGAGAUUGGGAAAAGAGAAACAAGUUACAGAAUUCAAGAGUAGGUAUCAUCUGGGGUCUUCCUGAAGGAACAAGUGUUGCUCCAGAGAAGCCAGAAAUUCUUAUCUCUGCUUUGCUCUAACCACCUCUUUAGGCUUUAUGACUGAAGAGUCCCUUUGGCCCCUUAACUCCACAAGGCUGACCCUGGUGAUCAGCAGCUGAGAUCUACAUGAUACAGUCCAGACACCAGAAGGAGACUGAAUCUCUCUCCCAAAUCUCAGCUCUAAAAUUCCCAAGAGAGGGCCUCAUGGGUCCAGGCAGUGUCUGGUGUCCGUCCUGCAAUGGCCAGGAGCCAGGUUUUCUUGUAGGAGUGUGACAGCUCCUCCUGCAGUCGGGGAUCCUGGAUGGGGCUGAGGAGAAGUUCCAAGGCAAGGAGGAUUGGCAUCUGCUCCAUAAGUGCAUUCUUCUCUUUGCACUUGAUCUUUUAUCUACCUCAUAGAUAGAUCCUUCUUGCUCACACUUUCAGCCUGUCCUUUUUUUUUUUUUUUUUUUUUUUUGAGACAGGGUCUCGCUCUGUCACUCAAGCUGGAGUGCAGUGGCAUGAACUUGGCUCACUGCAGCCUCCACCUCCCAAGUUCAAGUGAUUCUCCUGCCUCAGCCUCCCAGGUAGCUGGGAUUACAGGCGUGUGCCACCACACCUGGUUAAUUUUUUUGUAUUUUUAGUAGAGAUAGGGUUUCACCAUGUUGACCAGGCUGGUCUUCAACUCCUGACCUCCCCAGUGAUCCACCCACCUAGGUCUCCCAAAGUGCUGGGAUUACAGGCAUGAGCCACUGUGCCCAGCGCUUUCAGCCAGUUUGACCUCUACUCAUGCAAAUUUUACCUUUCCCUUUAUGCCUCACUCCACCUCACGGCUUCACUCUCUUCUCCCUGAUCGCACCCCACUGUGACUGCCUGAAAUGCCACAUGUUUCUUCAUUCAGAUUUCUCAGAUAAUUCAAUGGUUCCACCCAUAAUUCCACACCUGGCCACUUCAUAGACAAUGACUCACUUAAGGACAGGCUGCCUCAGGGUGCACAGCCUGUAUUCAGGAAUCUGCUAGAGCAACACAUAGCUGUACCUUCUGCAAGGCUGUGGGCUGGAUGACUCCACUGUGGGCGUGGAACACGGGCUGGUGUCAUAAGGAGACAUUCUUUAUGCCUUAGGCAUUGAAAGGAUACUCCUUCCAAAAGGCCUUUCCCAGCGUUUCCCCCUGAAAUCCACUAACCAUAGCAUUUCACUGUUGACACUGCCAUAUAGUGCUAAGUGCAGUUGUCUAACUCCUACUGCCACAGAGAUUCAAGUGUACAAUGGCUUACACGUGUGAGAAGAUUAUUUCUUGUUCAGAUAUCAAAUGCAGAAUAAGCAGUCCAGAGAGGAGAUGACAGCUUUAUGGUGUUGGGGACCUAUGCUCCUUCUGACUUGCUGUUCUAUCAUCCCUUGGACGGUGGCCUCAUCUCCUUGGAUCCAGAUGGAUCACUACCACAUUCCAGCCAGUGGGAAGGGGGAAAUGCAUUUCCUUUUCCUUUAAAUGCGGGAGCCAGAGUUUGCACACCUCACUUCACUCACACCUUGCCAGCCAGAACGUAGUUACAGGGUCACAUCAAGCUUGAAGGAGAGCUGGCAAAUGAAGUCUAUUUUGGGUGGCCAUGUGCCCAGCUAAAAGUUGGGAAUUCUAUUAUUAAAGAGGAAGAGGAAGAGAAGAAUGCAUAUCCCACCAUUCUGUCACCGUUUUUGACUGCUCUCCACUCACUAUCCAGUCUGUCACAUGCUGGCACAUCCCAUUCCUGAUGCCUUUCCUAUGGGGCUCUAUUCUUCAUCCCCACCAAUACCACCAUGCAUUGGGCCCUUCCUGCUUUAUACCCACUGUCUCAUUAGAACGUCCUAGCUGAUCCCUUUGCUUUCAGUCACCUUCUGUGAUCAUUCUAUUAAUAAAUAGCAAAUCUGAUCAUAUGCCCCUAUUGUUUAGAAAUCAAUGGCUCCCCACUGCCCAUAGCAGUAAGAUUUUGAAUCCUUUUUUUUUUGAGACAGGGUCUCAUUCUGUCACCUAGCCUGGAGUGUAGUGGUGAGAUCACAGUCAUUGCAGCCUUGACCUCCUGGGCUCAAGUGAUCUCCCCACCUUAGCCUCCCAAGUAGCUGAGACUACAGGCACACAUCACAACGCCUGGCUAGUUAUUAAUUUUUUUUUUUUUGUAGAGAUGGGAUGUCACUAUGUUGCCCAGGCUGGGCUCAAGUGAUCCUCCUGCUUCAGCCUCUCAAAGUGUUGGGAUUACAGGUGUGAGCAACUGCAUUCAGCUGAGUGCAGAUUUUUGAAUCCCUGAAGUUGUAUGCAAAUUUUGCCUUCUUUUUUUUUUUUAUUGCAAAAACUUUUUUUUUUUUUUUUUUGAGAUGGAGUCUCACUCGCUCUAUCACCCAGGCUGGAGUGCAGUGGCACAAUCUUGGCUCACUGCAACCUCUGCCUACUGGGUUCAAGUGAUUCUCAUGCCUCAGCCUCCCGAGUAGCUGGGAUUAUAGGCAUGCACCACCAUGCCCUGCUAAUUUUUGUAUUUUUUAGUAGAGAUGGGGGUUUCACCAUGUUGGCCAGACUGGUCUGGAACUCCUGACCUCAAUGGGUCAGCCCACCUUGGCCUCCCAAAGUGCUGAGAUAUACAGGCGUGCGCCACUACGCCUGGCCAUUUUACUUUUUCUUUCUUUUUUUUCUUUUAGAGAUGGGGUCUCAAUCUGUCACCCAGGCUGGAGUGCAGUGGUGCGAAAAUAACUCACUGGACUCAAACAAUCCUCCUGCUUUAGCCUCCUAAGUAACUAGGAUUACAGACAUGUGUCACCAUGCCUGUCUAUUUUUUAUUUUAAAUUUUUUUUUGUAGAGAUGAGGUCUUGCUAUUUUGCCCAGGCUGGUCUUAAACUCCUGGCCUCAAGCAAUCCUUUCGCCUUGGCCUCCCAAACUUUUUCUGUUGAGGCCUUUGCAUUUUCAAAGGGGUCUGUUAUUCCCCUCAAGUUACAGGCACAAGUCCAAAUUCCAAGUAUCCAUGUACGAGUGUGGUAUGUUUCCUGACCUCCCUUUCACGUCUCCUGUUUAGUCACGUCUCCUGCGUAACUGAAACUAAAGUCAUUUUGAAAUUGUCUCCAUUGCCCAACAGGUCACACUUUUUCUUUUUUUUUCCUUUUUUCUUUUCGUGAUGGAGUCUCACUCUGUCGCCCAGGCUGGAGUACAGUGGCGUGAUCUUGGCUCACUGCAAACUCCACCUCCCGCAUUCAAGCGAUUCUUAUGCCUCAGCCACCCGAAUAGCUGGGAUUACAGGCGUGAGCCAGCGUGCCCAGCCCAGGUCAGGUCAUGCUCUUUCACAUGCCACAUCUUCCAUCCACCUGCCGUUAUAUCUAAACUCCUAGGCAUCGUUAUGGCUUGGCUGAAAAGCCACCUCCUCUGGGAGGCGUCCUUGACUCCCUUUGUCCCACUCAGUCUCCACAGCUCGACUCAGGCCUCCAACACUUGUCACAUUUCAUAGUGGUCGUUAGCUUACACCUGCCCCCCACCAACAAACCAUUAACUCUGGAGCCCAGGACUCUGAAUGGACACUCCACAAAUGUUUAUUGAAUAAAUGUCACUCAUGCUAAAAAAACUGGAGUGCUGUUUCUAACAUGUGAAUCUGAGCAUUGCUUCCUUUUUGCGGAGGAGCGGGGAAUGGUGUCUGGCUGUAACCCAGGCUUGAGUGCAGUGGUGAGAUACCGGCUCACUGCAGCCUCUGCCUCCCCAGUUGAAGCGAUUCUCCUGCCUCAGCCUUCCAAGUAGCUGGGAUUACAGGCACAUGCCACCACACCCAGCUAAUUUUUGUAUUUUUAGUAGAGAUGGGAUUUCACCAUGUUGUUCAGGCUGAUCUUGAACUCCUGACCUCAAAUGAUCUACCCAUCUUGGCCUCCCAAAGUGCUGGGAUUACAAGCAUGAGCCACUGUACCCAGCAUAGGCACAUUAAUAUUAUUUGAAUGGCCCAAAUCAAUGUUCUCUCUUGUUUUGGAGCUUUAUUCUUGCUUCUUCCUCUGCCUGGAACGUUCUCCUGCUCCUCUUUGCCUGGCUAGCUCCUACGUAUCCUUCAGAUAGUUAAAAUAUACCUCAGGAAGUCUUCCUGGAUCCCCUCCCCACUUCUAGGUGAAGGGGGUACUAGGCUGAGGGCCCCAUCUAUGCACACCCCCAGCACCCUAUGUUCGCCCAGUUGCAACGUGGCUCUCACUGCAAGGCGGUGGCUCAUUUGUCUUCCUUCCCUGCUCACAUGCAGUGCACUCUGUGCCUAACUCACCCGCUGGCGUAGCCCCAGCCUCAAGCACAGCACUUGGAAGGGAAGAGGUACCUGAUAAAUGUGUUAAAUGUGGGUUAGAGGAAUGGAUUUCUCCAUUUUAAAUCUUGAUUUCAAUACCUUUCUGUUGCCUUUGGAAUAAAGCCUUACCACAGCUUUUACAGCACUUUCUGAUGUGGUCUCCAUGUAAUUUUAGUCUCGUCUCUUAAAAAUAUACCCUUUGAUUUCAGUGUCCCACUCAAACAUGGUAGCCACACUGAACUGAAUGAAGGCCCCCAAAUGCCUGCUUUCCCUUCUUCCAGCCUCUGCAGUGAAACUGCCAUUGCAAACUUGUAACAGACAGUGAAAGAGAUCUGACCUAACCAACUUCAUCUUGCUUCUAACCUCCAAGCUGUCCUUGUUGGUUCCUGGGCACAGGCUGAACUGACUUUGGGAGAAAGUUUAUAGUUUAAAACAAAGACGAUAACAGCCCUUUCCCAAAACAAACCUCCUUCUUGCCUGGGGACUAGACUGCCUUUGCAGGACAAGAAAUUAGCCACAAGAUUAGAAAUUAUGGUUUAGGAGUCAUGCAGCUGGAGACUACCAGGUUCUGACCCUCCCUAAACUGCUCCUCAGAUCAGUGCUUGAGACAUUUUGCAGACCCUGCACUUGAUGGAUCGGCUGGCACCACCCAGAUCAAUAAACUGGCUCAUCUGAUCUUGCAGCCUCCACCCAGGAACUGACUCAGCGCAAGAAGACAGCUUCGACUCUGUAUGAGUUCAUCUCCAACCUGACCAAUCAGCACUCCCGGCUCACUGGCUUCCCCCCAUCCACCAAGUUGUCCUUAAAACUCUGCUCCCCGAAUGCUUGGGGAGACUUAUUUGAGUAAUAAUAAAACUCUGUUCUUCUGCAC